GCACGAUGUGGGGCAGACCUCCUCAGGCUCCCUGGCCGAUUCUGUAUUCAGAAUAAUCCUCGCUCCUGUGAGUAUUUGCUCGACUAGACCACUGUACGGAUAUUCGAUAAUGAGAUGGCCGGCGCUGCCCUCCCUCCCCCGCGGAGCCGCAGCUCUUGCCCUAGUGAGCGCUGCCCUUACUGUGUGCUGGUGCUGCUCUGGGCGCUGGGCACUCAGCAGAGAAGAAACAAAAAUCCCUGGCAUUUUAGUGGGAGACAGACAAGAUGGGAUAAAUAAACAUAACAUGCAGCACGUUGGAUGAUAAUUUGUGCAAAGGAGAAAAGUCUUGCGGAGAAGGAGGUAUAAAAUGUGGGGAGCUGACAUUUUAGAGGGAGCGGCCAGGCGUGGGCACACAGGAGCAAAGACCUGGCAAAAGUGAGGGAGCACGGAGCCUGUAAAUAUCUGAGGAAAGAACCUUCUAGCAAAGGGAGCAGCCGCAUGCCAAGGCCCCUUCUCGGACAAGAGGCCAGUGUGGCUGGAGGAGGGGGAGGAAGUGGGCAGAGGGGGGACUGCAGUGGGAUGUGAGGUCAGAGAGGCGAGGGGGUGGCAGGCCCCCGUGUGGGCCACGCAAGGGACCUGGUUCCAGCCUGUCGGUUGCAAGCCAUGCAGGAGGUUGAGCAGGGGAGGGACGAGGCCUACUCAUGUUUUCAUGGGAUCGUCCCACUGCUGGGCGGAGGACGCUGAACAGGGAGGAGCUGCGCAGAGAGACCAGCAAGGAGGCUGCUGAGGUGAUCGGACCCGGAGUUCAUGCUCCUUUAUCCUGCAUGGCCCUGGGGUGAGAUUCCAGGAGCGGGCCCUCCCCUUGGAUCACCACAUCAGCGCGAGGUUCUCCCUGGCAUCCUUGACCUGCAUUCCUGAUUCUGGCUUGGCCACCAGGAAUGCAGCCAAUGUGUGACAAAGCCACCGGAGGAUCAAAAGCUACGGAGUGACCUGAACAGCCUUGGAUGCAGGUGACACGUGUGCAAGGAGUUCAGGUCAACGAGCGUCAUGGUCAGGCCAGCGGGUCGUGGGGUCUGCUCAGCCGGGGUCUGAGUCCAGCUCUCACUGGUUAAAUUUAGUGGAUAAAUUGCUUCACCUUGCUAAGCCUCAGUUUUCUUCUCUGCGAAAUGGGCUGGUGGGGCCUCUGCACGGAUUACUUGAUGGGAAGCAUGUAAAGCUCUGAGCGGCUCACAGCCUGGCUCCCCCCACCGCCUUUCCUCCUCUUCCUCUCCCUCGCCUCUCUUUUCUGCCUUCUGAUGUGUGAAUAGGACUUGAAAGCCGGGGUGGCGGCCCUGUGAGGGUUGCUCUCUGCAUAACGAGCUUUCAUCCCCGUUGCCAUGACAGCUGUAAUGCUCUCCCCUCGGGAGCAGCCGAGGUCUAACAACUGCUGAAGAGGCCCCUUUAGAGCACGUUGAACACUCUAAAGAGAAUUUCCGCUCCCACAUCAGGGCACUUGACAAUCGUUUUCCUCCUCGAGACUCAGCUCCGAGGAGUGGUGUCCAGCUGUGGGAAGGGAUGCCGGGCUGGGUUCAGUCUUUAAUGAGAGCUAUCUGGGGUGUGGCACGACCUUCCCCCUCCAUCAUUCCUUGCUGUCUCCCAGGGAGGGAGCUGGUCCUGCUGACCGUCAGCCAAGGCCGGUGCUGGGAGGUCCCUGUGGGCACAGAACCUCCUUUUCAAAGGCUCUCUCUCUGGUGAGCAGCCAUCCACAUUUACAUGACAUUUGUUCAGGAGUGGCUCUUACCUGUGCAUCACUGUUGUUUAAACAUAAAUUUACCGCCCCCUCCUUUUAAGCACCAUAGUAGGCGUAGAUCUGAUAGCCUACCAGCAGAACUUUAGAUUGUCAUCUUAGGGCCAGUUGGUCCUCAGCCGCAUCACAAGCCAGAGGAAAGAACGAGGGUGUUUGGCCCCUGGGUAUAGGAAAUAGAUUUGAGCUUUCUAUCUAUGAGAUGCCCAAUGAAAAUUUCAGUUAUUUGAUAAUGCGAGACACGGUUCCCCAAAUUUCUUCCCUUUCUAAAACAGCACCAGUGAAACAUCAUUAACAUCGAGAAUGCUUAUUACAACGCUCUCGGUUGCAAAUGAUGGACUCUCAGCUCAAAUAAACAUAAGCAAAGGCCGUGUUUAGACUCAUAACUAAAAAGUCUGGGAGCUGGUCUGGCAUUAGCUGCACCUAGACCCAGAGUCUCAAUCUCUGUCUGUCUGUCUGUCUCUCUUCCCUCCUCCUCGUGGACUUUCCCCACGUGGCCAGUGUCGUGGCUGGCUGCCCAGAACCCACAUCCUCUCAGCCCCAUAACCCAAGUAGAAAGAGUGCCUUCCCGAGAACCUGGUGAGGAAUGUUCUGGAGAGAACCCUGAGAGGUCAGGCUGGGUCCAGCAUGAGUCAUGUCAGCUGGGAAGUGAGCUCUCUGAUGGAGAUGCCUGGGUUACGUCGUAAGCAAUAACAUCCGUUGAGUCACAAGCUUAAUAUGCUCAGUGUAUUUUUUAAAUGAAAUUUUUAUUUUAGAAUUGCUUUAGAUUUACAGAAAACUUGCAAAGAUAGGACAGAGUUCUCAGAUAUCCGCACCAGUUUCCCGUUAUUGACGUCUUACCGUAGCGCAGUGCGCUUGUCCAGUUAAUGGAUCAACACGGAUCCGUUAUUCCUAACUGAAGUCACUCUUGAGUCAGAUCUCUUUGGUUUUCCCCAGUGCCCUCUUUCUGUUGUAGGGUCCCAUCCAGGAAACCACUUUACGCUUGGUCACCACGUCUCCCGAGGCCCCUCUGUGCUUUGACUAUUUCUCACUCUUCUGGUUUUUGAUGCCCUUGCCGGUUUUGAGGAGUGCUGGUCAGCUGUUCUGUAGGAUGUCCCUCCACCGGGAUUGGCCCGAUGUUCUUCUCACAAUGAGACGGGUGUGGGUUUUGGGGAGGAAGAGCCCAGAAGUCAGGAGGCGUUUUCUUCACAUCAUGCUCUGGGUCUGUUCCGUCAACAUGGCCUAUCUGGCCUAUCACUGUCGGCGUUGACCUGGACCUCCUGACUCGGGGGUGUCUGCCAGGCUUCUCCCUGUAAAGCUACUCUUCACCCCCCUUCCCUCACGUGCUCUGUGGGAGGAAGUUGCCGUGCACAGCCCACACUAAGGAGAGGGCAGGUGUGCCCGCCUCCUCGAGGGCAGGCUAGCUGCAAGAAGUCUUCUGCCUGGGAAAUAUGUCUCCCCCCACUGUGUAUUUCUUUAUUCAGCCGUGUAUUUAUAUCAGUAUGGACUCAUAGGUAUUUAUUUUAUUCUUCGGGUUAUAAUCAAAUUAUACUUCAUUUAUUUUCUUCCUCAAAUUCUUCCAGCUUUGGUCAUUGCGAGCUCUUUCAGUUGAAUCUUGGGCAGCUUUGACCUUCCUCCAUC
rnacentral:lncRNA from 1 species